CAGAAAAUAAUAUAUAAUUAAGUAUAUAAAUUUUGGAGAUUUAAAGAGAAAUAUCUUUUCUGA
rnacentral:tRNA from 1 species